rnacentral:rRNA from 1 species
UGCUUUAUACAUGCAAGUCGAACGGAGGCCCUAGCUUGCUAGGUGUCCUUAGUGGCGCACGGGUGAGUAACACGUGGGAACAUACCUUAUAGUACGGAAUAACUGCGGGAAACUGUAGCUAAUACCGUAUAUUCCAGUAAUGGGAAAGAUUUAUCGCUAUAAGAUUGGCCCGCGCAAGAUUAGCUUGUUGGUGAGGUAAAAGCUCACCAAGGCUUCGAUCUUUAGCUGGUUUGAGAGGACGAUCAGCCACACUGGGACUGAGACACGGCCCAGACUCCUACGGGAGGCAGCAGUAGGGAAUAUUGGACAAUGGGGGCAACCCUGAUCCAGCAAUGCAGCGUGAGUGACGAAGGCCUUAGGGUUGUAAAACUCUUUCAUCGGUGAGGAUAAUGACAGUAGCCGAAGAAGAAGGACCGGCUAAU